AUUGAACGCUGGCGGCAGGCCUAACACAUGCAAGUCGAGCGAGCGGCGGACGGGGGAGUAAUGUAUGGGGACUGCCCGAUAGAGGGGGAUAACUACGGGAAACGGUGGCUAAUACCGGAUUAUGUCGGAUAACCCAUACGGGAUUAGCUAGUAGGUAAGGUAAUGGCUUACCUAGGCGACGCUCCCUAGCUGGUCUGCGAGGAUGAUCAGCCACACUGGGACGGGGACACGGCCCAGACUCCUACGGAGGCAUCAGUGGGGAAUAUGGCACAAUGGGCGAAAGCCGGAUGCAGCCAUGCCGCGUGUAUGAAGAAGGCCCUAGGGUUGUAAAGUACUUUCAGUCGGGAGGCGUUACCGACAGAAGAAGCACCGGCUAACUACGUGCCAGCAGCCGCGGUAAUUC
rnacentral:rRNA from 1 species